GGACUCAAUGGUCUUGAAGGUCUUUUCCAGCUUGCUUAAUUCUGAUUCUGAAUUAGGCUCUCAGCUUGAAAUACUGAGCUACGUGGAAGGUGGUUUUAAGAAGAUAAACACAAACUGACAUGGGAUGAAUCAGCCAUUUUAGUUUAGUUUGCAACAAGUCUAAUAAAAAGAACAGAAAUCUUACCACCAACAUCUAUGAAGUGCUUUGCAGCUAAACCAGAACGUGGUGCUAGAAAACAAGAAGUUUUUAAUCAGAAGUUCACAACUGCCAUGAUUCUAUUUGGAACUGCAAAAGACAUCAUUUUAAGGACUUUCUGAAGCCACUUUACCGGAAGCUUAAAGGCACUGGUGCCAAUACCAGAGUGAGAUUGUUCUACUCGUUUAAGGCAAACAUACUGCACUUUGAUAAAGAACUGUUUUUUAAAGACUUUUUAGUGCUGCCCAGUAUUUUUGUAAAACAGACUCUUCUCGGGCAUACAAUGCAUCACUGGAAUCAGAACAAAACCAAAUCUGGUAUGACAAAAGGAGUAUAAAGGGAAAGCAACAAGUGUGGUGAAGCAAAGCUUUAGAAGGAAGUCAGGCAGAGAAAGAAAAUGACAAGCUGGUUAUUCUAAAUAAUACUAGCAAAGGGAAGGUAGAGGACCUCACCAUGGAGGUCAGACAAC